rnacentral:lncRNA from 1 species
AUGUCGGCGAUUCAGCGAGAGGCAGCCAGCGGGCAAGCGACCACCGCUCGGCCGCGAGCUCCCAGCUCCCCUCUCUGCGCCCCAAAGGCCAGCAGAGGGCGCGCGCCUGGCGCUGAGCCCAACCGCCGCCUCCAACGGGAAAGGACGGAACCCGGCGGGACAGGAUGGAGGUUUGGGUCCCAGCCCAGCUGUAUUUGCGGCGCGUACUGGGGCCUGGCAGCCGCUGGGGCGGCGCUAAGAACGAAAGUGGGAAAUGGUCUUCGCGGUUAAAGCCCCAGUCCUCGGGGAGCAGACCUCCGCUCUGUGGCAGUGCCGUGCGCCUGGGAGCUGCGUGGAACAUUCCGCAAGUGAGUCCUUUCCCGUUUCUUUGGUGACAAUUUUAUAGGUUGAAUGGAACUUGCCAAAACUUAGUUUCCCACCAUGCCUAACACUCGUACAGCCCUCAGAGUGUUGCAGUUACAGGGUCUGACCAUGGCUAGGUUUAAAAUGUGGAUGUUUUGCUCACGAUGAAGGGUUUAGCAUGAAUUUUGAUUUUUAAAAUGUUGCAUUAAGGCUGGGUGCGGUGGCGCUCACUCCUGCAAUCCUAGCACUUUGGGAGGUCACGGCGGGCAGAUCACCUGAGGUCAGGGCUUGGAGACCAGCCUGGCCAACAUGGUGAAACCCCAUCUCUACUGAAAAUACAAAACUUAUCCAGGCGUGGUGGCAGGCACCUGUACUCCCAGCUACUCGAGAGGCUGAGGCAGGAGAAUCUUUUGAACCCGGAAGAUGGAGGUUGCAGUGAGCCGAGAUCACGUCACUGCACUCCAGCCUGGGCGACAGAGACUCCGUCUCAAAAAUAAAAAUAAAAUGUUGCAUGAACAUCUUACUUUCUCAUGGGAAUAGUAACUAAUGAAGAUAGAAGUGAUGAAAUCGCAGCACCGCAGCAAUCACUCCACGAAGAUGAGGCGCUGCCCUUUCCCUCCACACUGGGGAUCCAGGGGACAUGGGUGGCUCUGGUGGUUUCUUCCUAGACUUACUUCGUGGGGACUCCCAGGGCACAGAUAGGUGAGUGCGCUUCACCUGGGCUCUUCUUUUUCAGCGGUCACUCCCGGGCCCUGCAUUGGUCUUGACCACAGGACCCGGAGGCACAGGGAGAAGCCUCCCCUGGAUGCUGGCGAGUUGACUUCAGUGGCUGAGACUGUCCGGGAGAGCCGGGA